CACUGACUCACUGAGCGAACUGUCAGACGGGAGAGAUAAGGAAAGAGAGAACGGGUGGAAAGAGCACAAAAACGCUGCCGUUUUGACGUCCCUCUUCGCUCCACUUCACACGAUGAGCUUGUCUUCUCCGACCAGUAUGUGUUGCUGUCUCGGCUGGAGCUCUUCCUCCUCCGUACAACUAGGGUUUCUUCCCGCCAGAUUUUUUCGCGUUUCUUCCAGACCAACCAAAAGAUUUCAUUUCAAAUGCUCUUCUUCGGUUCCUGAUUCUGAUCCACUCUUGGUUAAGGCUGCAAGAGGGGACCCUGUUACUCGGCCUCCAGCAUGGAUGAUGCGCCAAGCCGGAAGGUACAUGGCUGUUUACAGAAAGCUUGCAGAGAAAUACCCAUCCUUCAGACAGAGGUCAGAGACAACUGAUCUCAUUGUGGAAAUUUCUUUGCAGCCUUGGGAAGCUUUCCACCCUGAUGGUGUUAUCAUUUUCUCCGACAUACUUACACCUUUACCUGCAUUUGGUGUCCCAUUUGACAUAGAGGAAGUGAGGGGCCCUGUUAUUCAUUCUCCAAUUCGCUCUGAAGAAGGCUUGAAAGUAUUGCAUCCCAUAGACUUAAAGAAGCUUCAUUUUGUGGGAGAAUCACUAAGAAUUUUGCGGCAGGAGGUGGGGGGACAAGCUGCUGUUCUGGGUUUUGUAGGAGCACCUUGGACAAUUGGGACAUAUAUAGUGGAAGGCGGUACAACUCGAACAUAUACGAUCAUAAAAAGCAUGUGUCAUACAGCACCAAAUGUAUUGAGGGCUCUUCUUUCUCAUUUAACACAGGCAAUAUCUGAAUACAUUGUUUUCCAAGUUGAAUCCGGGGCCCAUUGUAUACAAAUAUUUGAUUCUUGGGGUGGUCAACUACCGCCUGAUAUGUGGGAGUGCUGGUCAAAACCUUAUAUUGAAGAGAUGGUGAGUGUUGUAAGGAAAAGGUGCCCUGGAACUCCAAUUGUUCUCUACAUUAAUGGAAAUGGUGGCCUUCUUGAGCGAAUGAAAGGAACUGGGGUCGAUGUGAUUGGACUUGACUGGACGGUGGAUAUGGCUGAUGGAAGAAAGCGAUUGGGGAGUGGAAUCAGUAUACAGGGAAAUGUGGAUCCUGCUUAUUUAUUUUCUCCUCUUCCUGCCUUGACUGAUGAAAUUCAAAGGGUUGUGAGGUGUGCAGGACCAAGGGGCCACAUUCUUAAUUUAGGUCACGGCGUUCUUGUUGGGACACCUGAAGAAGCUGUUGCACAUUUCUUUGAAGUUGCAAGAAACUUGAACCUUAGUACACUGCUUGAAGACAAUGCAGUGGAGGAACCUAAAUUGGCUGUUUGAGGGCACAAAAUUGGUUAAGCAAAAAAGGAUGACAUAAAAGAAGGUUUAUGAGAAACUGUUAGGUGCAUCAAGUCAGCCUUACCUCAGAUCUUGUAUUGAGCUCAAUUACUUAGUGGGCGAGCCGUGAGCCGCGAGCAAAACCAGACUCCAGGCUUUGCAGCACAUGAACAAGGAUCAGUGAACUACUCAACUUGAAUGCAAGCUUGGUUAUGAUGGUAUGCUCGAGAAAUGGCCACUACAGACGCCAGUCCCAGCUGAGGUUUUUGCAGCGCCAAUCCUACCUUCAGGUCAGUCAGUGAAGGAAUGUGUCCGAAUCUGUUUCAAUUAACAUGAUUUUGGAUUUGAACAUGUUAUCAAUACUGAAUGGGUAAAGACAUUCCCAGCUGGAAUACGGUUGGGAGUAGAGUGACUCGAUCUGCAGUUCACCAGAGCCUCAGAAACAAGGAAUUGGGAACUUGGGAAUGGUAUAACUUUCCUGCAAAACACUACUGGAAUGAUGGAAAUAGGGUCAAGUUCCGGCCCUUUAUCGGGUUAUCUGUCAGUCAUCUUCAAGCUUUGCCUUUCUUUCUUGGCCUGUACGCCCAGGACAGGGGCCACAAUGCUUCUCCAUAGGGGGUCAGGGAUCCAUUUUUCCCGGAACAAAGCUUGGUCACUAUCCUUUUUAUCAUCUCAAUUUGGUGCCAUCUGCUGUUCUUUUUC